GAUGAACGCUGGCGGCGUGCCUAAUACAUGCAAGUCGAGCGAACAGAUGAGGAGCUUGCUCCUCUGACGUUAGCGGCGGACGGGUGAGUAACACGUGGAUAACCUACCUAUAAGACUGGGAUAACUUCGGGAAACCGGAGCUAAUACCGGAUAAUAUAUUGAACCGCAUGGUUCAAUAGUGAAAGACGGUUUUGCUGUCACUUAUAGAUGGAUCCGCGCCGCAUUAGCUAGUUGGUAAGGUAACGGCUUACCAAGGCAACGAUGCGUAGCCGACCUGAGAGGGUGAUCGGCCACACUGGAACUGAGACACGGUCCAGACUCCUACGGGAGGCAGCAGUAGGGAAUCUUCCGUAAUGGGCGAAAGCCUGACGGAGCAACGCCGCGUGAGUGAUGAAGGUCUUCGGAUCGUAAAACUCUGUUAUUAGGGAAGAACAAAUGUGUAAGUAACUAUGCACGUCUUGACGGUACCUAAUCAGAAAGCCACGGCUAACUACGCG
rnacentral:rRNA from 1 species